GCCAGGUUGGCUUCUGCACUCAUCAGGGUCCGGUCAUAAUCUGUGCUACGAAUGAAGAUCUACCGGGGUAGAGACAACACAUUUUGCUCAUAUCACUACUAUACCAUGGAAAAGGGAUCUGUCCUGUAGCUAUGUCAGAUGACCAGUGCUCACAUGACAGCAAUCCAGAGACGGUGCUUCCUAAAAGAGAAGGCCAAGGCAGAGAGGAGAACUAAUGUCUGCAGAAGCUUUCAAGGUACUUGUCCCAGACUCGGAAGUGAUUUAUCAGGGAAGCAGUUUCCACGUGAGAUGCUCUGCCAAAGGCCCCUUCAGAGGUUUCUGGGUACAAGCAGCAGAGACCACCCCGAGGGACCACAGAAAGGCAGUUCCACCCCUGAGCCCAGCGCCAGGCAGUCAAAGCAGGGAGGCAGGGGAGUGAGGACCCCUCUGGGGGGGUACAAG